GUGCUCUUAGUUCAGUUCGGUAGAACGUGUGUCUCCAAAACCCAAUGUCGUAGGUUCAAAUCCUACAGAGCAUG
rnacentral:tRNA from 1 species